GACGAACGCUGGCGGCGUGCUUAACACAUGCAAGUCGAACGGUAAGGCCCUGCUUUUGUGGGGUGCUCGAGUGGCGAACGGGUGAGUAACACGUGAGUAAACUGUCCUCUCCUCUGGGAUAACUUCAGGAAACAGGGGCUCAUACCCGAUAGGAGCUCCUGCUGCCUGGUGGGGGUUGGAAAGUUUGGGUGGUUGGGGAUGGACUCGCGGCUUAUCCGCUUGUUGGUGGGGUAGUGGCGUACCAUGGCUUUGACGUGUAGCCGGCCUGAGAGGGUGACAGGCCACAUUGGGACUGAGAUACGGCCCAGACUGCUACGGGGGGCAGCAGUGAGGAAGAGAGCACAAGGGGCGGAAGCCUGAUGCAGCAACUCCGCGUGCUGGAUGACGGCCUUCGUGUUGUAAACCGCUAUCGCCUGUGACGAAGCGGUAGUGACGGUAAUGGGUAAAGAAGCACCGGCUAACUACGUG
rnacentral:rRNA from 1 species